AUGGCGCGGGGCGCGUACCCGCCCGCCGACGCGCAGCACCCUCUCCUCCGCAUGAACCCGCACGAGUGUGUCCCCUUCAUGGACGAGCUGUUCACCACCGGGCAGGAAGCCAGGCUUGAGGCGCUGCCGUCGCCUCGGCUCAUGAACACGCACAUGCAUCACUCCUUGCUGCCUGCCUCUGUUACCGAUUACCCCGACUACAAAAUUGUCUUCAUCUGCAGGGAGCCAAAGGAUAUGCUUGUUUCCUUGUGGCAUUUUCUCAAAGGUGUUCGUUCUUUCACGUUUGUUGAUCUGUUUGACGCUGCCUGCGAGGGGAGGGCCCCAAAUGGCCCUAUAUGGGACCACCUCAUCGGCUACUGGAACGCAAGCAAGACCAGCCCGGACAAAAUCCUAUUCCUGAGGUACGAGGAGAUGCUCAUCGACCCGGUCGGCCACGUCAGGAAGCUGGCGCGGUUCAUCGGGCAGCCAUUCUCACAGGCCGAUGAGGCCGCGGGGAUUCCAGCGGACAUCGUGAAGCUCUGCAGCUUUGACAAGCUCAAAGGCCUAGGGGUCAACAAGGCAGGCUCCUUUGAUGGGAAGGUUUUCAAUUUCUCCCAUGAAUCCUUCUUUAGAAAAGGGGUGGCCGAAGAUUGGGUGAACAAUAUGACGUCAGAGAUGGCGCAACGCUUUGAUACCAUCAUUGAGGAUAAGCUUAGAGGGUCCGGACUCACAUUCAAGUGA
rnacentral:rRNA from 1 species